rnacentral:rRNA from 1 species
CCUAUCAUGCAGUCGAGCGAAUGGAUUAAGAGCUUGCUCUUAUGAAGUUAGCGGCGGACGGGUGAGUAACACGUGGGUAACCUGCCCAUAAGACUGGGAUAACUCCGGGAAACCGGGGCUAAUACCGGAUAACAUUUUGAACCGCAUGGUUCGAAAUUGAAAGGCGGCUUCGGCUGUCACUUAUGGAUGGACCCGCGUCGCAUUAGCUAGUUGGUGAGGUAACGGCUCACCAAGGCAACGAUGCGUAGCCGACCUGAGAGGGUGAUCGGCCACACUGGGACUGAGACACGGCCCAGACUCCUACGGGAGGCAGCAGUAGGGAAUCUUCCGCAAUGGACGAAAGUCUGACGGAGCAACGCCGCGUGAGUGAUGAAGGCUUUCGGGUCGUAAAACUCUGUUGUUAGGGAAGAACAAGUGCUAGUUGAAUAAGCUGGCACCUUGACGGUACCUAACCAGAAAGCCACGGCUAACUACGUGCCAGCAGCCGCGGUAAUACGUAGGUGGCAAGCGUUAUCCGGAAUUAUUGGGCGUAAAGCGCGCGCAGGUGGUUUCUUAAGUCUGAUGUGAAAGCCCACGGCUCAACCGUGGAGGGUCAUUGGAAACUGGGAGACUUGAGUGCAGAAGAGGAAAGUGGAAUUCCAUGUGUAGCGGUGAAAUGCGUAAAGAUAUGGAGGAACACCAGUGGCGAAGGCGACUUUCUGGUCUGUAACUGACACUGAGGCGCGAAAGCGUGGGGGAGCAAACAGGCUUAGAUACCCUGG